AACGAACGCUGGCGGCAUGCUUAACACAUGCAAGUCGAACGAAGCCUCCGGGCUUUGUUGCGCAGGGGUGCGUAACGCGUGGGAAGUAGCCCGUUGGUUCCGUACAACAGACAGAAAUGUCUGUUAAUACCGCAUGAAGUCUUCGGACCAAAGAUUUUUUGGGACGGGAUGGGCGCGGGUAGGUUUCGGUGGUUGGGGGGGUAAAGGCCUACCAACCCGACGAUCCUUGGCUGGUCUGGGAGCAUGAUCAGCCAGACUUGGACUGAGACACGGACCAGAAUCCUACGCGGGGGAGCAGUGGAGAAUAUUAGACACUGGACGCAAGUCUGAUCCCGCAGUGCGGGGUGAGAGAUGAAGGGGUUAGGAUUGUAAAGCUCUUUUAGCAGGGGUGAUAAUGACAGUACCUGGUGAAUAAGCUCCGGCUAACUCCGUG
rnacentral:rRNA from 1 species